UUUAGAGGAACCUGCCCUAUAAACGAUGAACCACGAAUCACUCUGCUUUUUCUUGAAAUUCAGUUUGUAUACCGCUGUUGUCAGUUAGUUUCUUUAGAAAACUCUCAUUAAUGAUAUAUUCAAUGACUUCAAGUAAAGGUGCAGCUUAUGAAAAAGAUAGAGGUGGGUUACAUUUAUGAGAAUAAAACGGAUAAAGUUAUUGAAACAAACUUUUGAAGGUGGAUUUAAUUGUAAAGUUUAUAAAGAUUUGAUUUGAGC
rnacentral:rRNA from 1 species